GACGAACGCUGGCGGCGUGCUUAACACAUGCAAGUCGAGCGGUAAGGCCCUUUCGGGGGUACGACGAGCGGCGAACGGGUGAGUAACACGUGGGUGACCUGCCCUCAGCUCUGGGAUAAGCCUGGGAAACUGGGUCUAAUACUGGAUAUGACUCCACGGUGCAUGUCGUGGGGUGGAAAGCCUUGUGCGGCUAGGGAUGGGCCCGCGGCCUAUCAGCUUGUUGGUGGGGUGAUGGCCUACCAAGGCGACGACGGGUAGCCGGCCUGAGAGGGCGACCGGCCACACUGGGGACUAGA
rnacentral:rRNA from 1 species